rnacentral:rRNA from 1 species
AUUUAAUUCAACAUCGAGGUCACAAACUUAAUUAUUAAUAAGAACUCGCCAAUUAAAUUAUGCUGUUAUCCCUAGAGUAAUUUUAUUUUCUUCAAUUAUAAAACCAAAAAUCUCUUUCUUCAACUGAUUACCCCAACCAAAAAUUCUAAAUUUUAAACUUCUAGGGUCUUCUCGUCCCUAAACCUCAUAAAAACAUUUUUAUUCUUAAUUUAAAUUCAAAUUAAUCAAUAAAAACAAUCCUCCCAAAUUUCUACCUUUCAUUCCAGUCCCCUAUUAAAGAA